rnacentral:rRNA from 1 species
AUGCCUUACACAUGCAAGUCGAACGGCAGCACGGACUUCGGUCUGGUGGCGAGUGGCGAACGGGUGAGUAAUACAUCGGAACAUGUCCUGUAGUGGGGGAUAGCCCGGCGAAAGCCGGAUUAAUACCGCAUACGAUCUACGGAUGAAAGCGGGGGACCUUCGGGCCUCGCGCUAUAGGGUUGGCCGAUGGCUGAUUAGCUAGUUGGUAGGGUAAAAGCCUACCAAGGCGACGAUCAGUAGCUGGUCUGAGAGGACGACCAGCCACACUGGGACUGAGACACGGCCCAGACUCCUACGGGAGGCAGCA